GUUAAGUUUGUUUACUGUUUGUUUUUAGGUAUGAUGAAGAGGAAGCUUUCAGUGGUGUCCAGUACAUUGUACAGAAGUGUUAAGCCUUUCAUGGAAGCAUCAUCAGAAGUAGAAGAAUACUUGGUACACACAAGUGGAUUUUCCUGAAAGCUAUAAUGGCAUGAGAAGUUUCUAGUAAUGGGAACGUCAGGUGUCCUGAUGAAAGAUUUCCUGGCAACUGUAGUACAACAGACAGAGGAAAAUGGUCAAAAAUGUAGGAACGAAUCCUUUUAGCUUAUUCAGUGAAGAGUUGGAACACUUUGUCAGUCCUACCUGACAAAUGUGGAUGAUCUGUAACUUCUGUGGAAGUGUAACACCUGAAGAGUUUUUGUGGCUUGAAGUGGGAUGCCAUGCUUUUCAAAAGCCUACUGAAACAGCUGCUGCAAUUUUGUGUAGCGGAUACUGUUUUCAGAAACUGCAUGUGAACCAAAAUCACUGUCUCUUCAUAUUUAAAAUAGCACUUUUCUUAAAACAUUGAGCUACACUUUGUAGGAAGGAUAGCAAUAUUAGGGAAACAAGCAUUAAGCUUCAAUACAUGGAAAAAACCCCAAGAGUAUUGCCCAUUUUAAAAUAUCAUGAGGGUAUGCAGACUUGCUGAUGCUGAAGAUACAUAAUAACUCAAAACAAUGCAACUCACAACUGUAAAGACAGGGAGAAAGCAAAACAGGUACACAAAUUCAAACCAAUGAGCCUGUUUUUUGAUUGGUGUCAUCCAGGAGAUAGGAGGAAGUAGAUGAUGUGAUAGUGGUAUGGAAGCAUAAACAUGAAACACUUGUAAGAAAGAAAUUUGGGUGUCAUGAGGAAAGUUCUUACAGAAGAGGCAAAGGUCUAAAGCUUUCAUUGCUGUCUGUAUCUAGUGAGGGAGAGAAGAAUUGGGGUUUUAUGCUCUGCCACUUGAGUAUGAAAAGGCCAGUGGAACUGCCCUUUGAGGAAUAUGCUGGCAAUGUUACUUCCUUGCUGUGCGGGGAAAAGAGGUCAGUAGUGGGAGAAGGGAGUACCCACAGUGGAACUUGUGCUUUGAGCAGUCACUUGAAAACUAGCGGUGCUCUAUCACAGUAACAGCAUAUUUGCUGUAUCUGGCUAAUUUGCAUUCUUCCACAGAGUGAGAGAUCAUAAAUUGGUCACCAAGGAAAUUGGUAGAGCUAAAGUUAGUGAAUCAAAAUGCACCAAAAUACAGAAAAACUACCCUAUAGUCUGCAGCCAAAAAUGACAGCAUUGGAUGCCAGCAGCUCUCUUCCUUUAGAGAGUUGGAAGAAUUCCUAUAGCUCGUGGAAUGUGCCUACUUCUAAAUGACAAAUUCCAUGGAAUGCCCAAUUUUCUGUCUAAGCAGUAUCAUGAAGUGCCAAACACCACAGUAGCAGUGCCUAAAGCAUUGGGAAUGUCAAAAAUAAGUAUCCACCUGACUUCUAAAAUGUAUGCUAAGGAUCUGACUGAACUUGGAGUGUAUUGCUUCACCAAGCAUCUAUGCUUUGGUUGUUAAAAAGCAGUAACCAGCUACUUUGGCUAAAGACUGCUCCUUUUCAGCAGGUAACUGUGUAAAUCGGUAUAUUGAAUGUAUCAGAAUCUGCAGAGAUUUACUACUGAACAGGUUUCCCUUCAUUGCUUUCAACAAUAUUUAUUAUUUCUGUUAAUGUUACUGACAAGGGUAGGUAUUUCCAUGUGCCAUAUUUUGUACAUGCUCUUUCUUGAAUAAAGAUGAGGAUGUGAAAAACCUA